CGCACAAAGUGAUGGACAGGCUCUUCACCAACAACCUAAUGACACUGUUUAAUUUGAAAGGGAAGGGAAAAAAAGAUAAAAUUGGGCUCGAAGACAAGAAAUUGUUUUCAGCAAUAAAAGCUGCUGUCAUGAAAUGGGACGCAGCUGCCACAGAGGCCCAAAUAAAGUCGGCGGCAUCGGACCACCUAAAACAUGCCCCUGGGAGAGUAGGGGGUGGUGGUUAUAAAUAAAUAAAUAUACUGUGCUAAUAUUACAAAAUUUUAUAGCACUUUUAUUUUACUUUACUGUUCUGACUUUUAAGUUUUAUUAUGUUAUUGUGUUAAUUUAUACUUGCUGUUCUUGUUUUAAGUAUUAGUGUGUUGUUGGUUUAAUUUAAACUGCUGUUCUGGUUUUAAGUUUUUCUAAAUAUUACUAAUAAAAAUAUAUUUUGAAAUUUAAAUAGUUGAUUUCUUGAAGUGAUCAGUUUGUUUACAGAAAAAUGGUAAGCAGUUUAUUACAAUUAUAUUGAUAAGAUACAAAAAUGCAAGACUAUAUAAACUAAAAAAUUAUUCAAUUGAAUAAUCAAUAUAAUCCAUAUUCUUUCAAAUAAUUUAGGUCUAUGGUCUGUCUGCAGUUUCAUGACACGACAACCAUUAACAAUGAGUAACUGGGUUUUUCUCAGUGAGAACUAACUCACUCAACGCCAUUGUUUGAAGUAAACAUUUUUAUUUUUUUAUUUUGAUCCUUGCAAAUAUGUCCAGAUGGGAUUUCCAUGUUAAUAGAAGCCUUUCUUAACAGAAUCUUAACAGUCAUCUUUGACAUUUCUACAGAAAACGCAUCUAAU